rnacentral:rRNA from 1 species
AUUGAACGCUGGCGGCAGGCCUAACACAUGCAAGUCGAGCGGGGUUUUCGGACCUAGCGGCGGACGGGUGAGUAACGCGUAAGAAGCUGCCCGAUAGAGGGGGAUACCAGUUGGAAACGACUGUUAAUACCGCAUAAUGUCUACGGACCAAAGUGUGGGACCUUCGGGCCACAUGCUAUCGGAUGCGCCUACGUGGGAUUAGCUAGUUGGUGAGGUAAUGGCUCACCAAGGCGACGAUCUCUAGCUGGUUUGAGAGGAUGAUCAGCCACACUGGAACUGAGACACGGUCCAGACUCCUACGGGAGGCAGCAGUGGGGAAUAUUGGACAAUGGGCGCAAGCCUGAUCCAGCCAUGCCGCGUGUGUGAAGAAGGCCUUCGGGUUGUAAAGCACUUUCAGCGAGGAGGAUGGGGUUGUAGUUAAUAGCUGCAACCUUUGACGUUACUCGCAGAAGAAGCACCGGCUAACUCUGUGCCAGCAGCCGCCGUAACAC